rnacentral:rRNA from 1 species
GGAUAGCCUUGCGAAAGUAAGAUUAAUACCCGGCGGUCUCGGACGGCCGCAUGACUGUCCGAGUGAAGAUUUAUCGGUAUGAGAUGGCGAUGCGUCCCAUUAGCUUGUUGGUGAGGUAACGGCUCACCAAGGCAUCGAUGGGUAGGGGUUCUGAGAGGAAGGUCCCCCACAUUGGAACUGAGACACGGUCCAAACUCCUACGGGAGGCAGCAGUGAGGAAUAUUGGUCAAUGGACGAAAGUCUGAACCAGCCAAGUAGCGUGCAGGACGACGGCCCUCUGGGUUGUAAACUGCUUUUAGUUGGGAAUAAAAAGAGGGACGUGUCCCUUAUUGUAUGUACCAUCAGAAAAAGGACCGGCUAAUUCCGUGCCAGCAGCCGCGGUAAUACGGAAGGUCCAGGCGUUAUCCGGAUUUAUUGGGUUUAAAGGGAGCGCAGGCGGCGGCGUAAGUCAGUUGUGAAAUCGUGCGGCUUAACCGUGCAAUUGCAGUUGAUACUGCGUCGCUUGAGUGCACACAGGGAUGUUGGAAUUCAUGGUGUAGCGGUGAAAUGCUUAGAUAUCAUGAAGAACUCCGAUCGCGAAGGCAUAUGUCCGGAGUGCAACUGACGCUGAGGCUCGAAAGUGUGGGUAUCAAACAGGAUUAGAUACCCUGGUAGUCCACACAGUAAACGAUGAAUACUCGCGGUUGGUUCGUUAGAAUCAGCCGCCAAG